rnacentral:rRNA from 1 species
GACGGAGGAUGCAAGCGUUAUCCGGAAUGAUUGGGCGUAAAGCGUCCGCAGGUGGCAGUUUCAAGUCUGCUGUCAAAGACCGGGGCUUAACUUCGGAAAGGCAGUGGAAACUGAACAGCUAGAGUAUGGUAGGGGCAGAGGGAAUUCCUGGUGUAGCGGUGAAAUGCGUAGAGAUCAGGAAGAACAUCGGUGGCGAAGGCGCUCUGCUGGACCAUAACUGACACUCAGGGACGAAAGCUAGGAGAGCGAAUGGG